CUAUUAGAACCUAAACCUGGUUCAAGUGCAUCUAGUUAAAUUAGACAAAUCAAUCUCCUUUGAUGUAAUUGAACUUUAUCAAUCUAGUAGCACGUAACCUUUACCGUGUGUCCUUAACCUGCAAAAGUGGUUAUUUGCAAGGGUGAGCGUGACAGCCCAACAAUUCUAACAGUUUUCAUGUAGCACAUAUCAUAUAAUAGCAUAUUCAGUUCAUGCAUUCAUAAUCAAUUAAUAUUAACUACGCAUGUUACUUCACACAUAACAUGCAUAGAAAUUUACUUCACAAGCAUAUCAUCAAAGAUCAACUUUCAAAUUUCAUACAUAGCUCAUAUGCAUUUCAUAUAUAUACAUCAACAUUCUCAUAGCAUAAUAUAGCUCAACUAACAAUUAUGGAAUUUAUAUAUCAAAUAGGAACUGAAAGACUUGCCUGAUUCGUAGUUUAUGAACUACGACUUAACUGCUUAACGCUUUAAAUGCACUCCGUGUAUUCCUAUACAGUUAUAUAAUCAUGGAUUUAUAUCCAUUAGUCACAUAUUUCAUACAUUCUUAAAAUAAUAAUGUUACAUUGUUCUCUAACUAGGUUCGUAACACCUACAUUUCGCUUUCUCAUCAUACUCUUAGAAUAGCUAGGUAUGUAUAGGUAUACCUAACCAUCCGUACUUGACAUCAACAUUCAUAUACAUUUAUCACGCACUUGACUCGCUAUGUGUUCGGCACAUAUUUAAAGUUUAUAGAUACGUGAUCUACGUCGUUCAUAUUCAAACUACUUAGUUUCAUGAUGAUUUAUUUCAAGCAAUAAAGCUUAACAACUUUCUUUAACAAGAUUCGAUGAUAUAAGAUUUUAAACCAUAUAUUGGUACUAAUAAGCCUCUACUAGUAUGCUUCACAUAGACAUAGCAUAGUUCAUUAUUUGAAGACGUAUUUUAAACCACACUUGAAAGGUCCAAUUCAUGCUUAGCUAAAUGAUCAACAUAUUCGUCAUGUCUAGGGGCAUAAGGCGUUCAAGUUCACUUUUUAAAAGUAAUUCUAGGCCAAGUUAAAGCAACUAGGUACCACUUUUAAUCUCAUUUCAUAGCUAACUAGGACAUGUAUAUAUGUUAUCAUGUUUAGAACUUUAAGUCCACAAGUUACUUUAAGUUCGUCCCUCUUAGUUUCACAACUUCAAAAAUUUAUUCUCAAAGUCAAUGUCAUACUAAACUAAUCAUGCAAGGCAACUUCAAUUCACACAUCAUACUUGUUUGUACAUGUUUCUACGUACGUUUCCAAGGGCAAAAUAUAACCACUCCAUGUUUAUAAAACUUUGUUUGCAAAUGAUAUAUGAGCUUGCCUUUGAAAUCAUUUUAACCAAAUCAAAGUAAUCUAACACACCUAUGAUACAACUUUGAAUCUUACAUCAUGCGUACUUAGACCUCAUAUAUAUGUUAUCAAGGUUAGAAUUAGAGGUACACAAGUUCGUCAAAGUUUGUUUUCAAAAAUCUUUAAGUUUCUUUUGAAAACACAUACGAAGUCAUGAUAAAGCAUUUCCACUAUAAGUAAGGUAAUCUUAUAUGGCAUGUCUAAUAUCAUCCAUUUUCAUGUUACAUCACUUAGAAUAACAUAUUCCAUCGUCGGGAGCACUAUACUUGCGCAUGUGCUCGCUCGACGCCCUCCGAUGGCCUUCGAUUACGUAACAGUCACAAAGAUGACUAUUUUGACCCUUUCUAAUGACCUCAAUUUGACAAACUUAAAGAACAAAAGUUGUAGGUAUAUUCGUUCUCUUUCUGGAUCAUCUUGAAUCUCAUCAAUCGGAGUUUGUAUGAAACUGUUAUGCCCAUUUUAGUAAAAUAUGUUCUGUCAGAUUUUUUUUCAACCUUUACAAUCAAACCACCCCCGUCGGGGUGGGGGUCUUGCCCUAUAAAUAGCCCGCCGGGGCGGGCCUAGCUACUGUAAAUGCACGGUUUCAUGCUCUGCUACAAAAUAACAAGCCAAACUACUUUCUAACCUUCAUAAUUUGAGUUAUACAUGUCCAAAUUAGUCCGUUUUCGAUUCUAUGGAUUCGUAAUUCAUAGAACUACAACAUACUAUAAUACCCAUCAACUAACAUAAACAUUAACUAACCCAAAUAUGAAUCUAUAACUCAUGUUCAUGCAAAUGUUCAUGUUUUGGACAAUUUAGCGAAAUCAUUCACUAUGAAUUCGUUUCUAAACCAAAUUGGUUCGUUUAACUUCCGUUGAUUUUGUAUUCAACCAUAUUAACAAUUUCUAGCAUCAAUUCAUGGAUUAUAACAACCCUUAGCCAUCAAUUUUAUGACUCAAAAGCUACUUUUUCUAAGAACUUUGUAAAACUUGAAUUUAAGAACACAUAGAGGGAUGUUACCUUCUUAAUGCUUGAUUGGCUAACUAUUGCUCUUCAACCUUCCAAUCUCAGAUUGCUCUCACUAAUGGCAACUCACUCUUAAUAGGAAGCUUACCAAAAUAACUCAGCAAAUGGAAAUGAGAAGGAUGAGUCCCCAUUUAUAGAGAAAUCAUUGUCCAUACAAUGAUUUUGCCCAACAAUCUAAACCAAGAGGAAGAAGAAGAAGCCAUUGGAUUGAAGGAGUUUGGUGGAAAAUCAAAUCAACCCACUCCCCUCUUCAUCAUUUGGAAGCUAUGGAUUUUGGAGAAGAAGAAGCAAGCUAGCUUCUAGCCUUUUUGCAUUUCACGUGAAUGAAGAAUGACUCUCAAUUUGGGACACUACUCUUAAAACUCAGCAUUUCAUAUUACUAUUAGCAUACUUAGGUUUAUUUGAUAUUUUUCCCCAAAUGUGCAUACAUAUACACCCACUCACAUAGAAUUAUAUAAUCCAUGUACAUUUGAUUAUUCCAAAUAAUAUUUACAUUAGACUAUAAUAUAACUUAGUUGGGCACCAAUAUUGUUUUCCAUAAAAUUUAUCAUCUCAAAUAUACCCAAUUAUCAUAAUGAUAAUUAAUAUCAAUUAUUUAUGAACUCACCAUUUAUUUUCCCAUUAAAUCCCCAUUUGAUUUAACUUCACUAGUUAUGCCACACAAGACAUAAUUAUGUGAACUUAGUAAUUAAUAGCUCACAAGCUUAUAAUAAUAUAAUCUCACAAAAUAACAUUAUUCUUAACUUUACAUCUUAUAAUAUGGUCAUGGAAGUGGUCCAUUGCACCAUGUUACAUUUUAUUAUCUCACUUGUACAUAAUGCUAACAUACAAGCCUUUAUACAUAUAUAUUCAAAUACUUCCUAUAUUAUAUAGUUACCAUUGAAGUGUUCUACUUCAUUUCAUAUCAUAUAGAUGUAGCUACUAUAUAAUAUAAAACCAUUGCACAUACAAAUUUAAUUCCUUCAAUUAUUCAUUCAUUAAAUUAUUUAAUGAAUGCUUAUUCCAUCACUUUGCCACACUAGGCAUAUCACACAAGCUUACAUUAAGCUUAUUACUUAUUCUCAUUACUUAUUCAUUUCCCACCACAUUACUAUAAUCAAAAUUAUGUACUUCUCCAUAACAUAAGAUGUUUUUAUCAUGUUUUCUCUAAAUAUAAGAACUAAUCAUAAUAACACGAUUUACUCAUUUUCGCAAGAUAUUAUUCUUAAUAUAAUAUCUUUGUAUUAUUAAAAUAUUUACAUGCACGACACACGUACACACUAUAUAUAGAAAAUAAGUUUAUUUCCUAUUAUGAUAAAUUGUUUCCAUCAACUUAUAUAGCAAAUAUGUUUUAAUAUAUUUACCACAUUACUUAAUCACACACAUUUCCUCGUACAAAGCUAUAUAAGGUAAUAUCAAAAUAAUAUUCCCCCUUUUAUUAAAAUAAUCAAAUGCUAGAAUUUAUUUUAAUAUCCUUUAGUAGAAAUAUACUAUAAUUAUUUCUCUUCCACCAAAUCACAUAAUUCAAGGUAUAUAUAUAACAUAUAUACAUUCCUUUAAUCUUCCCUUCUCGCCGUGUAUCAAAUUACUCAAUAAUUCUCUAACCACUUUAAAGGUAUAUCGAUUUUCUUCUCUCGUCAACAACGUACAUAUAUACAAGUCUAAACCUAGCACGCGCCGAGUCUUUAAUAGUAUUCAAUAUAGUACGCUGAGUGGUUUCCCACAAACAACCAACAAAUUAGUUUUCGUCUCGUCUACACUAUUUUCACAGUGAGUUAGAUCAGUCACUAAUUCGUAUAUACCUCCGCUCUCUGAAGGAAUCGUUUAGCCCAGCUCCUAUACAUCCACCAUUAAAGAGUAAGGUUGCACUGCCUUAGACUUGAUACUUACUCGUACCAAUACUCAAGAAAUUGGUGAUUAUCACAAAUAUUUAAUGUCACCAACUUACUAUUAUAAAAUAAUUUCACAUAAAUUAUUAAUAUCAAUAGAUAAUUUUUAUCCAUCUUCUUACUAAUUUAUCUUUACAAUUCAUAAUAAAUAUAUAAUAAUGAUAUAUUUAUUAAACACAUAAAUCACUUAUUGCAUAGUUUAUAUUACCCCAUUCAACACCAUUCCAUAUACCUCACAACACAUAAAUUCUUAUUCGAACCCUUCUCAUGCCUUAAGAAUUUUAUUUACUAAAUUCUUAUUUUAAUAAUUUCUAAAAAUUCGGGUUCUUACAUCUGCUACAGGGAGUUUAGAGAUUUUGGGGGUGUCACAAUAUCCAUCAAAUAGAUUGCAAAGAUCUGGGAACCAAUUUCCAAAAGCUCGCGAGAGUAACCUUAGAUAUGUUAGCUUUAGAAAAAUCUAACGAACGUGAAGUUUUCUCCAUGCCCUAUUACUCCUUUAUAUGUACAAAUGACAUACAUACUAACUUGCAUCCUAUAUCUUACUAUCCUGUAAUUAAAACAACUGACCCCAGUUUUCCAAAAAAUGAUUAAAAUACAUCAAAACCCGAUGUAUAACAUAUCAUGCAUCCACACUUUCUGCCAAUAUCAAAACUAAAAUAUGUAAAUGUUUAUGUGCAAGAUUGGACCUAAAACUCGAUCUCAAGCCAAGAAGGCACCACCGUUGCUUAUUAAGAUGGCUGGAAAUAGCACCUCGGAACCUAUACCCAUAUCUCAGGAGGAAUUUAAGGAUUUUAAGAGACAGAUCGCGGAGAUAGCUGUUCUAUUAAAAGAGCAGAGUAAAACAGCUCUAGAACCUAAAAUGUAAACUCAACAUGAGUGCUCUACUCAGAAAGACAGUCAAACAUCUAAUAAAGAAGGUGGUUGUUAUACCCAUUCAUGUGGAACAACCCAACAUCGGCUCCAACAAGGAGACUAUACACAAAAAUAAAGCAAAAGAAAUGACAGACCUUCGGGAAGACAGAGAAACUGGGGAUAUCCGAAGAAAAGUCGGACAGAUGGAGGAGACUAUCCGAUCCAUUAGAGGGACUGGCUCCCACGGAAGUGUAAACUUCUCUGACCUCUGCAAAUUUCCAAGGACCGUCUUCAAAUCUUGAUCCAAGUAUUGGAAGAGGCACACUUGCCUAAAUCUAUCAACACAGAAUAGUUUGAUCACCUGAUCAGCCAUGUGCUAGACAAUAACAUGAUCUCCUUCACCGACGAUGACCUUCACCGACAAUGACAUACCGGCUGAGGGAAUCGGUCACCGCAAACCUUUACACAUAACGGUUAUAUCGCCAGGCUAUGUUAUAGGAGGAGUCCUAAUUGACGGCGGCUUUGCCUUAAAUAUAUGCCCUUAUGACACCCCGGAAAGAAUGAAAAUCAAUGCUAACAGAAUUUGGGUCAAUCAUGUCGUUGUCAGAGCUUUCGACGGGUUAAGGAGAGAUACCCUAGGAGAGAUUAAACUUCCUAUGGGAAUCAGCCCGUACACCUUCAGUGUGUCAUUCCAAGUGCUGAACAUCUCCAUAGUGUAUAACAUGUUGGGAUUACCAUGGAUACACAUGGCUGGGGCAGUACCCUCCACUUUCUAUCAAUAGUUGAAGUAUAUAAUCAAUGGUAAUUUUGUCACUGUCAGCUCUGAGGCUGAACACACUACCCAAGCACAGGGAGAUAUGCCAUUGAUUGGUUUAAACGAGGGUAUCGAGCCCGCCAGCUUCCAAGCCUUUGAAUUAAGCACCCCUCACUACCAUUCUAUUUGGGCACCGGUGAUGAAACCCUAGAUAUCCCCAGAAGUAAUGACGCUUGGCCGCAAAAUGCUCGAUCAUGGGUAUCAGCUAGGUCAAGGGCUGGGUAAGAAUUCCCAAGGAAGCAGGAACCCAAUCCAAAUACCUACUCAGUCAUGAAAGGCCAAAUUGGGCUACUCCGGUGGUUUUAAACACCAUAAUCCCCAUAAAAGAAGAUUGUAAACCACGAACUAAUUUCCAUCAUAUCAAACCUCAUUGAGGCGGGCUUUAAAGAACCCAGCAAAGUGAUAUCACCCAAGGUGUCGAGCAUGUUAAUUCCUUGAGUUAGCCUCAUGAACACAGGAAAGGUUAAAGAGGUGGAGAUAUCGGUAGUGGAUGCCGAGAUCAAAAGCUUUUAAAAGAAAUGCGGUUGCAAUUUAUGUACAAUUUAAACCUCACCGAGGGUGAUGCAAAGGACCCUUCGGCAUAUGGUUCAUCGAGUAGUCAACCAAUUUUCCCCUUUAUUAAUGGGGCAGAAAUGAACGUCCCCAAGGAAGAUCUCAAUGAUAGGUCAAAACCCGCGAUGGUUAUUAUGAGGAAGGACGACACCCCUAAUGGAACAUCUAUCUUGGCCAUCCCCGAGGAUGUGACCAUUGUAAGGACCGAGAAUUUUAAACAAUUAUAUUUUUCUAAUAGUUUUUUUUUUAUUUUUUUAUUAUCAGUAUUUUUAUUAUUAUUAUUUUGAGCAUGUGUGAUAUGGAUUUAGCAUGUUAGUCAGUUUAUUUAUAUUAAAUUGACUAAGAAAGGUAAUGAAGGGCAAACAUGAAUAGUUGAUCAAAACCCUAAUUUGAAUAGGGGUUCACUACAAAAAAACGGGGCUUCAGCAACAACCGAUUUUCAUUGCUAAAGGUGCCAAAUUUCGUUACUAAAGGUUUUUGGCAACGACUUUACUGUCGUUGCGUCUUUCGUUGCAUAAUGAGCAUUGCUAAUUGUUCCGCAACGAACGUAUUUUUUUCGUUGCCAAAAGUAAUACAUUUUGCAACGAAAUUUGGCUUUCGUACAGAUACAUCGAUCCUUUAGCAACAAAAUGUAUUGUUGCAGAAUAAUUAAAAUUUUGUUGCUAAAAACUCCAUUUCGUUGCAAAAGCCUGCUAAUUGGCAACGAAAUGAGCUCUUUUUUUUUGCAACGACUAUGCAUUUUCGUUGCAAUUGACACCAUUUUGCAACGACAUUUUUUGUUGCAGUAAAUUAUGAAAAUUGUUGCCUAAGCUUGCUUUCGUUGCGAAAUGUAAACUUUUUAGCAACGAUUUUCGUUGCUAAUUAUAUUAUUUGGCAAUGACAUUAUGCUGAAUCAGCAACGAAAAUGUUUGUUGCUGGUUAUUUUUCAAUAGCAACGAAAGUCAUCGAUUAGCAACGACAUUAUAUGUUGUCGUUUCUUUAUAUGUGCAACGAAAGUUGAUAUGAUUUGCAACGAUAAAAAAUGUUGCCUUUUAUUUUAAUAUUAGCAACAAUAUCAUAUCCGUUGUUAUUAGGUUAAUUUUUCGUUGCCAAAUAUUAUAUUUUAAUGUCAUUAGCAACGAAAAUUUGUUGCUAAAUGUAUAAAAAAUUGUUGCUAUAUUAAAACUUGUUCAAUGCUUUGGUAAUGAAUUAUAUUGUUGCCAAAUCAAAAUCUGACAUUCUUUUUGUGUACCUGACUGGCUCAAUGUCCACAUAGCAAAUAAUGACAAAAAUACAAAAAAAAUAAAAUAUUAUUAACUUAAUAAAAUCAUCCACUACAUAAUCAUUCAUUAUCUUUACAAUUAACAAUCUAAAGCUGCCACAGUUGUUCAAUCAAAGUAUAUAUCUACAUAUAUAGAGAGUACACUUCAUAAUUUUGUCCCUUGUCUUCCGUAAACAUAGCACGAAAAAUUUGAUACCCAGAAUUGUGCGGCAGGUCGUAGAAGCAAUCUUCAUGCACAUAUUAAAAAAUAAUAGCAAGUCAGGAAAAUGAAGCAAAUAGUCACCAGAAUCUGCCAUUCAAAACAGACAAACAAAUAUCAUCUCUUAGAUUGAGAAUUGACUAAGCUCCCUUUUUUAAAAAAAUUACUUAAUUUCAAUAUGAUCUGAAGAUGCUACCAAAAAAUAUUUUUUCGAAUGAAGUAUAUCUAUAUACACAGGCUGAACACCAACAAAUACAUGCAGCGCAUAGAUCAGAACAAAGAAGGAUGGCCUUCUACAACACUCUUAGACUACAGCUGUAAAGGUACCCAGCUAAAUAAGUACCUAAGUUGAGCCUGUAUCAUGGUUAUCAAUGAAAGUAACAGCUCUUGAAGGCCACCAGCCCAUCACACCAGGUGGUUUCCUUGCAGGAUCCCGCAGACGCCAUAAUUCCCCCUCCACAGAUUCCUAAAUGACGAUAUAUAGAUGUAUGAUGAUAGAAGGUUGAGAUUUUUCAGAGAAAAAAUAAAUUUACAGGCAGUUAAAUAUAAAGUACCUGAAGAAUUCCUUUUGUUGUGAAGUCAAAGGCCGUUGAAAGUUGCCCUGCCCCAUCAAUCCAAUUUAUAAUUAGUUGUCUAUGACUAUCUGCAUGUAGAAUUUAUUGAAAAAGGAAAAAUAGAUUAGGAGAAUGAUAAAACUGUCAUCUAUACGCAAGUGUUUAAAAGCUUGGGUAAAUAUGUUUCAACUGAAACAAUAAAAUGACCACUAAUAACCUCAUGAAACUCAUCGUUGAAAUGAACUAAACAGCAAUUACUUCAAAAGUUGUCUAACAAACAUCAAUUUGUUUUCAUGAAUGUAAGUAUUGUAACCUCGAUCAAUUUGGACCUUGCAACCUCGAUCCAACAGACUCGCGCACAACAUUGUCAUAAUGUUGAACCACUGCUUGAUUUAGAAGCCACGUAGCCCAUCCGAAUUCAUGUGCAAGUAGUUCACCAGCAACGGCCAUUCCACCAAUUCGGAUGAAUCCUUCCCUGUUUAUUUUAUGAUUUUUUUGGGUGAAUCUAUGCACAAAUUUUAAGAUUUGUUGAAAACACAUACCCAAAAUAUUAUUACGAUUUAUGGAUAAGUUAUAUACCAAUUAUAUUUUUAAACAUAUUUGUAAUAUAGUUGUAUGAAAAUAAAAUAUAAUUGUAUAAUUGAGAAGUAUAUGAAAAUUUAACUCCUAUUUGUUUCUGUCGUGCCUUAAAAGUGGUGACGAAAUACAUCAUAGAAAAUAUCGACAAGGGUAAUGUGACGCCCCCAAAAUUAGGUAUACAUCACCCAUCUUGAGUCGCCAGAUACAUGGUACAUAAUUCAAAUACAACUUAAUAAUACAACUGCCGUGUACAAUACGACAAAACAUAAACUGUGAGUUUGAAUACAAAUAUUGUCUACUAGAGAUUACACAAACUCAAAAGGAGUCUUCAUUACAAUUAUUAUCAUACUAUUUCACAGAAUAGUGAGGACUACUAAUGCANNNNNNNNNNNNNNNNNNNNNNNNNNNNNNNNNNNNNNNNNNNNNNNNNNNNNNNNNNNNNNNNNNNNNNNNNNNNNNNNNNNNNNNNNNNNNNNNNNNNNNNNNNNNNNNNNNNNNNNNNNNNNNNNNNNNNNNNNNNNNNNNNNNNNNNNNNNNNNNNNNNNNNNNNNNNNNNNNNNNNNNNNNNNNNNNNNNNNNNNNNNNNNNNNNNNNNNNNNNNNNNNNNNNNNNNNNNNNNNNNNNNNNNNNNNNNNNNNNGCUUUGUAGAGUAAAAUUCAAGAAUGCUCAGAAGAAUAUUUCCAUGAAAAGAUACUGGAUGAAGCGCAAAUAUCAAGGAUAUUCCACUAAUUUCAUGGAGUAUAGAAGUCAAAGUUUUAACCAACUGAGUAUAAUAAAGAAGGGAACCAGGUCCGGCGUAAACGCACAGACAUGAUAUUCCGACAGAAUAAUAAAUAAUGGAACCAGGUCCGGCGUAAACGCACAGACAGGAUAUUCCGACAGAAUAAUAAAGACGGAACCAGGUCCGACGUAAAACGCACAGACAGGAUAUUCCAACAGAAUAAUAAAGAAUAGAAUAACAGGAGAAUUUCACCAAGUAUAGGGUAGCCCGCGUAUACAGGUUAUUCCAACAAAAUAAUAAAGAAUGAAAUAACAGAAGUUCUCUUCAUGAAUACAAAAAAAAUAAUAGUCCCUACGGGUACAACAAAUAAUAUUCUAUACCUUAGAAAGAAGAGUACUGGAUAUAGAAGUAGUGAAGUAACAUAAUACUUUUCUUUUUUCUCUCUAUAGUUUCUCUCUCUAGAGUUUCAGUGAAUUCGUAAGAAAUAAUGAAUGAAUGAACUUCUAUUUAUAGAAAAAUGGACUGCAUAGUAACUAACUCAUGAACGGUCCAGAUUGAUUUACUUUAAUCUGAUGGUCCAUAUUUAAAGCAAAUUCUUUUAAAUAAAAUAUAAUAUAUUCUAUUUAUAAUCUAAUAAAACGAAUAACUUUAUAAAAGAUUUUACUAUACAAAUACUAUGUAUAAUAAAAUAUAAUAUAUUCUAAUUAUUGUCUAAUAAAACAGAUAACUUUAUAAAAGUAUUCUGUUUUAUAUAAAAAGAUUUUACUAUACAAAAUACUAUGCAGACACUAUGCAACACUAUGCAUAAUAGAAUAUAAUAUAUUCUAUUUAUAGAAUAACUUUAUAAAAGUAUUAUGUUUUAUAAAAAAGUUUUUUUGUUUUAUUACAUUAAUAAUACCAAUAAAACAAAACUGAGUGACUUAUCACAUAAGCAUCUAUAAUUAAUACCGUGUGCUACUAUGCAACCACGCGUAUUACUGUACUUUUACUACCGAGUAGUUCAAAAGUAUUAACGGUAAAACUUCCGCCGUUAUUUUCAUAAAAUAUUUUUGUCGUUUUCUCAAUCCGACAAUAAUUUCGUUGUGGGGUCCACCAAUGAUUAUACCGUCAUACGAAUAUUCUCUGACAAAAAGAAUAUUCCCCGACCAAUCGAAUAUUAUACAAUCACUUGCUUACUUUGCAAAAUUUGUAAAUAUUACCCACAACUAUAACAUUACAUCAAAUCAACACCAUAAUAUAAAAAAAAAUUAUUUCGAGAAAAUUAAACCUUUAUUCAUAAAAUCUGGGGUCUCACAGGUAAGAUCCUUCGUAUUACAUCCAAUGGAAUGAGGAUCAAAAUCUAUGGCCUGUGAAGCUAUAAAGAUAAAAGAAAACACACACAACACAGGAUAAGAACUGUAUAGCUGACAAAGAGGUUACCUAAACCAUUUCACAAGUCAAAAGUAACUACUAAAUACACACUGUAUCCAUCCAUAGACUGCUAACCUAAUUCAGUAGCUAUAAGGAACAUACUAUUUUACCACAACCCCUUAUUUAUACGGUAUUAUGUUUCCAUGUUAGACUUAUCAACUUUUGGUCAAUUAUGUGUGUAAUUACAUCAAUGUCAGCCUAACCAUCUCAUGUUUGAAAAAGUAAAUGAAAGAUUCAGGUUUUAGCAUCUGAUCUGGAAUGGAUUAAGUCAAAAUAAUGUGCUUCGCCACAUAUGUCAUCCAAAAUCCAAACAAAACAUUCCAUUUAAAAAAAUAGAUCAUAACAUACACAAUUAUUCCUACAAAAUAAUUAAAGAACUUCAAAAACAUUUGAACAUUAUCAACAAACUACAAGCAUAGAGUAUUUUAAUAUGAUAAUUUGCAACAUUGAGGGGGAAAGUAAGCAUCAAGUAAACCAUUUGCUACUUGCAGCAGAAUACAACAAUUAUACAAUUACACAGAUUAUAACAUGCACAGGAACAUAAAUUAUUUUUAGCGGGGUGUGGAGAAGAAAAAAAGAGAAGUAAUUUAAAGAAAUUGCUUGGACAAAAAAAUUGCAUCAUCUAAACAUAGACAACCUGAAGGAAGUCAUUAAGUUAGUGAAAAUGAAGAAAUUAUACAACAAAGCUUUUAAGUUUUAAAGAGUUGAGAGUAGUUGGUUCCACAAGCAAAAAUUUAACAUGGUCAAAAGGAGUUCAAAUGGAUCAACUCAAAGUUUGGCCCAAACAAAUCAUAUCUCACCGUCAAGCUACAUGUUAAUAUGUAAUAUUCAUGGCUUCCAAAUCCUAUAGUUUAAGACAAAACCUACUAUAGUAAUAUUACAACACUUUACUUUCCACAAUAUGGAGAAAAUUAUUAAAUUUAGUCCAUUCAGUAACUUGCAUAUUUUAAUAACACAUAAUAGUACAUUAUUUGACAAUAAAUCAAUAGUUAAGCACCAACGAGAGAUCUACAUAUAUGCCAUAUUUUAACAGACCUUAAAUUUGCUUUUAUCUGUUGAUUGCACUCGGCACACUAACCCAGCCUCCGCUUCAUUUUCAGUUAUUGUAACUGAAUAAAAGUGAGCACACCGCUUUUCAACCUGGAGAAAUAGAAAAGGAUCCAGAUAAACAGGCCUUUUCUGUGGAAUUAAAUCCCAAAGAACAUGACAAUACCUUACCUUUCUAAUAGUGGUUGCUAAUGAGUGGGAUUUAUACCCGCGAUUUAGUCCUUUUUGUUGCUUAGGUUGUUGCCUAUUUUCAAUCUUUUAUGUAGUUUUUCUAUAUUUAUUUUAGUUCUUGAAGGUUCAAAUGAUCUACAGGCUGGUCUUGCAAAUUGUGCAGUUUCUUGGUUAUUUUCCUUUGCUUGCGCCCCAACGCCAGGAGUCGCGCCCCAGCGCCAUGGCCAGCGCCAACUUCGCGCCCCGACGCCCUCUACGGCGCCCCAGCGCCAAUCCCAAGGCAAAGCUUCUGACCUUUUGCGCUUUGUUUGGCCUGUAUGUUGCGCCCCAGCGCCAUGGCCAACGCCAGCUUCGCGCCCCGGUGCCAUCUACGGCGCCCCAGCGCCAUCUUUCGCGCCCCGGCGCCAGUGACAGUGCUUAGGCUCACGCCGCAGCGCGAGCUCCGGUUCCCAAACAGUAAACUCUUUUAAUGACCUAGAUAAAAGAAGGGGGCAUAUAAAUAGAAAGUGAACGCUGCAUUUAAGGAGACCAGAGGGAUUUAAUGGUCUGUUUUUCUAGAAGAGAAAGAAGCUCGUGAAGGGAAGACGAGUUAUUGCACCUAGCAUAUAACUCAGAGUUCUACUCGCGAAGAGAAGAUUUGGUGCAAGAACAUUUCAACAGCGGUUUUCUUAUUCCAAAUCUCCCAUUUCUUGUAUUUGUCUGAUAAUGUGUAAUGUAUUAAAAAUGCGUGUUAGUAUCAUAGUUAUGAACUAACUCCAUUUUUAGGAUUGCAAUGUAACCUUCUGAUUUACUUGAUCAACUUUCUCUCUCAUUUUAUAUAAUGAAUCAGUUGGAUGGGUUGUUGUAUUUUGUAUUUAAUGUCUGAUUGCUUGAUAAAGGAAUUGGUAUUGAUAGUGAUGGAAAUUGAUAAAUGGAUAUUACUAUCUUUCUUUAAAUACAACACCACCUGUUAUGACCAUGACAUUGGAAUGUGUGCAUAAUGUGCUAAUAGGAUAGACAUUCUUAUUUGCCUUGUGUGACCUUGAGACUUAGCUUAAUGACAUUGACCUAGUUAGUGUCACCAAUAGACAUAUUGUGUUCUAGCUGGUUAGGGAUGUGCAUUUGACCUUCGACAGAAGCUUAUGCAUAUUAAUGUUCUCGGUUGGCCAUUCCUUGAUUCGUUUGUAUUAUGGAGAAUUAGAAGAUUAGGUGAAGCAUUAGGGGAGUUGUAAUCCUUUCUUAACUUCCUAGCACAACUACUUCUCUAAAUUUUAUAAUCUUGUUGAAAUAGCUUAACCAACCAUUUGUUUCACUCGUUUAGAUAAGAUUAGUAACGAUUUUACCUUAGUAGUUAUUUUCUAUUAAGACUUCGUCCUCGUGGGUUCGACACUCUACUUACAUAUAUUACUUGUGGACUGCGUAUGCUUGCGCGCAAUUUGGCAAUAGCUAAAAUGACCAACAAGUUUUUGGCGCCGUUGCCGGGGAAUUAGUAUUAAUUGUUUCUCAAUAUUAAAACUAAGUCAUUACGAUCUUACUUUAAACUGAUUUUUCUGUUUAAUUCUCUUUUCAGGUAGUCUUCACCGUUUAUGCCACCUCGGAAGGGUCGGAACAUAACGCCUCUCGAUCCCGAGGUUAAUAAGAAUCUCAGAACAUACAGACGAGUGAGGAGAGAAGAAUCUAGGGAAUUACCUGCUCCUAUCAUAAUGGCUGAGGAAAUUCAGAAAUCUCUGAGGGAGUAUGCUAUGCCCCGCAUUGACGAUCUUCAGGCGAGCAUUCUAAGGCCUGCCAUCCAAGCUAAUAAUUUCGAGAUCAAGCCGGGAACCAUUCAAAUGUGCACCAACAUUCAGUUUGGGGGACUACCGAAUGAUGAUCCCAAUGAUCACUUGAUUAAUUUUGUGGAGAUUUGUGACACAUUUAAAUGCAACGGAGUGUCUGACGAUGCCAUCAGACUCCGGUUGUUUCCAUUUACAUUAAGGGACAAGGCCAAGAGCUGGCUUCAUUCAUUACCACCAGGCUCCAUUACCACAUGGGCUGACAUGGCACAGAAAUUUGUGGCAAAGUUUUUCCCGCCCGCCAAAAUAGCCAGGCUCAGGCAUGAUAUAACGUCAUUUGUUCAGUUCGAAUCUGAAUCCUUAUACGACUCGUGGGAGCGCUGUAAGGAUCUUCUAAGGAAAUGCCCACACCAUGGAUUGCCAGAAUGGUUACCCAUCCAGACCUUUUACAAUGGGUUAUCUGGAUCAACUCGAUCGAGUAUUGAUGCCACGUCUAGAGGGGCAUUCAUGGCCAAACAUCACACGGCGGGUUACGAGCUGGUGGAAACAAUGGUGGCCAAUAAUUACCAAUGGCCAAAUAAUAGGCAAACCCCGAGGAAAGUAGCAGGGGUCUAUGAAGUUGACUCUUUCACUUCGUUAGCAGCUCAGGUAACAGUGCUAACAAAAAGGCUAGAUACAAUGGGACCUACAACGGUUCAAAGUGUGCAAAGUGUAGGGAUGCAAUGUGAAUUAUGUCAAGGAAGCCACCCUACUGAUCAGUGUUCGAUAAGCCCUGAGUUAGUUAAAUUUGUGUCCAACUACGGGCGACAACAAAAUACAAAUCUUCCCACGCACUAUCACCCUGGCCUAAGAAAUCAUCCAAACUUCUCAUGGGGCAACAACAACAACAACAACAACAGUAACUAGGGCUGAGAAAGUAACCAAAUUAGAACUGAAACUGCACCAAAAACCGCAUGAACUGCACCAAUUAAAACCGCACCAAUGGUUCCGGCGUAUGUGGCAGUUUUAGGUGGGUUAAAUAACCAAAUUUAUGGUUUCGGUUUGGUUACUAGCCAAAACCGCACGCAUAAAACCGAAACCACACCAUGUGUAUGUAUGUAUUAUCUCUAGUAAAUUCUAAAGUUACUUUUCACUUGAACACGCUCAGAGAAAACUCCAGUCUUGCAUUGUCAUUUUUUCACCAAUUGAAAGAAGAUGUUAGAGGUUAUAGAGUCAAAAAUUAAGCAAUUGAGUUUUGGAAUUUCGAAUUUGUUUGAUGCGUUAUUGGAGGGACUUAUAGCUGAGGGUCUCGAGCACUUGAUGCAUUAGUUAAUGUCAAUGCUAUAAUAGUAAUAGUCUAAUAGAUUAUUUUUCAAAUUAGGUAUAGUUAGGAUUAUAUUCUAUAAGUCGUCCCUGCAAUAUAUGAGAUAGAAUUUUAUUCUAUCUCUAGUAUAUACUUUUAAUUUUUGGGGAACUAGAUAAACAUUCUUGCUUAUUAUCGAAUAUAUGGUCUCCAUUGUUUUAUAUAGCAUAUGUUUUAGUUUUAAAGCAUUCUUAAUAUAAUUCCCAUUGCCGACUUUGUUACUAAGUUAAUUGCUCGAUGUAAGUUUUAUGUUAAAUUUUAUUGAAGGCUUAGACUUUUUCGUUGUUCCAAUUGGUUUUGGAACCGAAACCGCACCAAUUAAAACCGCACCGCACACUUUAAAAUCACACCGCACCAAUCACAAGCGGUUUCGGGUGCAGUUUUGAAUUUUUCAAACCGCACCUAAGCGGUUUCGGGUGCGGUUUGGACUUCAAACCGCACCAUGCUCACCCCUAAUAGUAACAACCCCAACCAACCACAACCUUCAUCUACCAGGCCGAAUUAUGCUAACCCUCCUGGUUUCCCAUCUCAGAAUCAGUUCACCCCACAGCAUCAGAACACUCACAAUCAAUUCCACCAACCACCUCCUCAACAGGAGAAGAAGCCAAGUUUAGAAGAUCUCCUGUCAAGGUACAUAGCCCAGAAUGAAACUCGAAGUUACAAUCAAGAAGCUUCCAUUCGAAAUCUUGAGGUACAGAUGGGAUAACUGGCUAAUGCUUUAAACAGUCGUCCACAAGGCACCUUGCCCAGUGACACUGAUGUCAACCCGAAACGAGAAGGCAAGGAACAGUGUAAGGCAGUGACCCUUAGAAGCGGGAGAACUACUAAGGAACAAAGUGGAGAGAAUGCUCCUGUGGAAGAAUUAGUAACUGAAAAGGAACCUCCAGUGGAGGAGAAUACUAAGACACUAGUGGAUGAAGGAAGUACACACGAUAGCCCGGAAACACCAUCUCCUCCCGUGAGAUUGGUAAAUCAGCCUCUCCCUCAGUUGCCUUUCCCCCAGCGACUUCAGAAACAUAAGCUGGAUAAGCAGUUUUCCAAAUUCUUGGAGGUGUUCAAAAGACUGCACAUAAAUAUCCCAUUUGCAGAGGCACUGGAGGGAAUGCCUAGCUACGUCAAGUUCAUGAAAGACAUUCUGUCCAAGAAGCGAAAAAUGGGAGACUACGAAACUGUGGCAUUGACAGAAGAGUGUAGUGCCAUCCUUCAAAAUAAAAUCCCACAAAAGCUAAAGGAUCCGGGGAGCUUCACUAUUCCGUGCACUAUUGGGGACCAGUUUAUUGGCAAGGCUCUUUGUGAUUUAGGGGCAAGCAUCAACUUGAUGCCCCUCUCUAUUUACAAGAAGUUGGGCCUCAAGGAAGCCAAGCCUACCAGCGUCACCUUACAAUUGGCUGACAGGUCUCUAACAUACCCGAAGGGAAUUAUGGAGGAUGUGCUAGUGAAGGUUGACAAGUUCAUAUUUCCGGCGGAUUUCAUAGUCCUUGAUUUUGAGGAGGAUAGGGAGGUCCCAAUAAUAUUGGGAAGGCCGUUCUUGGCAACUGGGAGGACCCUGAUCGAUGUCCAAAAAGGGGAGCUAACAAUGAGAGUUCAUGAUCAGGAAGUGACGUUUAAUGUCUUUCGAUCAAUGAAGUAUCCUAAUACACCUGAGGAUUGCUUCCAGAUAAAUACAAUUGACAAUUCAGUGAAGGGGGUAUUCUCAGAAACUUGCAUUCAAGACCCUCUGGAAGCUACUUUGAUUGGGGCCAGUACUAUGGAAGAGCCCUCACAUGUGGAAUGUGCCAUGUGGCUCGAUGAACCUCAAAGAUCGAAGCAAUUCCACCGACAGUUCGAGUCUUUGAAUGAUAAUGAGGCAUCUACUUCCAAGGCUCAGCCGUCAAUCAUCGAGCCUCCAGUCCUUGAGCUUAAACCCUUGCCUGCACACUUGAGGUAUGCUUAUUUAGGAAAUUCAUCUUCAUUACCUGUGAUAAUUUCUGCUUCUCUAACCAAGUGUCAGGAAGAAAAGUUGUUACUUGUGCUCAAGAGGUACAAAACAGCCUUGGGGUGGUCUAUUGCUGAUAUAAAAGGGAUCAGCCCGACUCUAUGCAUGCACAAAAUUCUUUUGGAGGAAGGCUCAAAGCCAUCUAUAGAACAUCAGAGGCGGCUAAAUCCCAUUAUAAAAGAGGUCGUCCGGAAAGAGAUCAUUAAGUUGCUAGAUGCAGGCAUCAUCUACCCCAUCUCUGAUAGCCCUUGGGUUAGUCCAAUCCAGUGUGUGCCCAAGAAAGGCGAGAUGACAGUUGUGUCUAAUGAAAACAACAAACUGAUUCCCACAAAGAUAGUGACCGGGUGGAGAGUGUGAAUGGAUUACAGGAAACUUAACAAAUCAACCUGUAAGGAUCACUUUCCCCUUCCUUUCAUUGAUCAAAUGCUUGACCGGUUGGCUGGGCACCAAUACUAUUGCUUGCUUGAUGGGUACUCGGGGUACAAUCAGAUUUCCAUUGCUCCUGAAGAUUAGGAGAAAAUGAGGUUCACAUGUCCAUAUGGGACUUUUGCCUUUCGAAAAAUGUCGUUCGGCCUCUGUAAUGCUCCUGCAACAUUUCAACGGUGUAUGUGUUAAUCUUCUCUGACAUGGUUGAAAAGACCCUGGAGGUCUUUAUGGACGACUUUUCGGUAUUUGGAAGCUCGUUUGAUAAUUGCUUAACAAAUCUGAUUGUCGUUCUCCACAGAUGUGGCGAAACUAACUUGGUGCUGAAUUGGGAGAAGUGUAACUUCAUGGUUGAAGAGGGCAUUAUUUUGGGUCAUCGAGUUUCUGUAGGAGGGAUCAAAGUGGAUAAGGCAAAGAUAGAUGUGAUCAAUAACCUCCCACCACCCACCACAGUAAAAGGGGUAAGGAGUUUUCUAGGGCAUGCCGGGUUCUACAGAAGAUUUAUCCAGGAUUUCUCGCGCAUCACCAAACCGUUGUGCACUCUUUUGGAAAAGGACCAGCCUUUCCAGUUUGAUGUUGCCUGCUUGAGCGCCUUUGAGUUAUUAAAGACAAGACUUGUCACGGCACCUAUCGUGGUAGCUCCCGACUGGACCUACCCUUUUGAGCUAAUGUACGAUGCAAGUGACUUUGCGAUAGGGGCAGUGUUGGGCCAGAGAAGGGAGAAGGUUUUCCACACUAUCUAUUAUGCCAGCAAGACAUUGACUGAUGCUCAGUUAAAUUAUACCACUACUGAGAAGGAGCUGUUGGCAGUGGUCUAUGCUUUUAAUAAGUUAUGUUCCUACCUCAUUGGAACAAAGGUGAUUGUUUACACUGAUCACUCGGCAAUCAAGUAUUUGAUAGAAAAGAAGGAUGCUAAGCCAAGAUUGAUAAGGUGGGUUCUGCUUCUUCAGGACUUUGACUUGGAAAUCCGGAUAAGAAGGGAAUAGAAAACCAAGUUGCCGAUCACUUGUCAAGAUUGGAAAACACCAUGCCCUCGAAAGACGUUGAAAAGCCAUAAAUGAUUUUUUCCCGGACGAGCAACUUUUUGUGGUUAAUGGCAAGAUACUGUGGUAUGCAGACUUCACAAAUUAUGUUGUUUGCCAAGUUCUUCCCCAAAAUCUGAGUUAUCAACAAAGGAAGUAAUUCCUUAAGGAUGCCAAACAAUAUCUGUGGGAUGAGCCCUUCAUGUUCAAGCAGUGUUCCGAUCAGAUUCUACGUAGAUGUUUGCCUGAAGAAGAAAUUGAAGGUGUGUUACAUCAUUGCCACUCCUCAAACUAUGGGGGUCAUUUUGGAAGUCAACGAACUGCUGCUAAGGUGCUUCAGUCAGGAUUUUAUUGGCCCACCCUAUUCAAGGAUGCACACGCAUAUGUGAUGCACUGCGACAGAUGCCAACGGGUAGGUACUAUAUCAAGACGGCAUGAGUUACCACUGCAGAAUAUCCUGGAAGUUGAGUUAUUUGAUGUAUGAGGAGUCGACUUUAUGGGACCAUUCCCAUCCUCUUUUAACAAUCUCUACAUCCUUGUGGCAGUGGAUUAUGUCUCAAAGUGGGUGAAAGCAGUUGCCUUGCCGACUAAUGAUGCUAAGGUGGUGCUUCAGUUCCUAAAGAAGAAUAUUUUCACCCGUUUUGGCACACCUCGGGCUAUCAUCAGCGAUGAGGGGUCGCACUUUUGUACAAAUACUUUGAAGCCCUCCUAGCCAAGUAUGGGGUGACUCAUAAGAUCGCCACUGCCUACCACCCACAGACCAGCGGUCAAGCUGAAAUUUCGAAUCGGGAGGUGAAACGAAUCUUGGAAAAGAUUGUGAACCCAAACCGUAAAGACUGGUCUAAGAAGCUUGAUGGUGCAUUAUGGGCCUACCGCACAGCUUAUAAAACGCCUAUCAGAAUGUCUCUGUAUAGGCUUGUUUAUGGUAAGGCAUGUCAUCUCCCAGUUGAAUUAGAGCACAACUCAUACUGGGCCAUUCAAAAGCUCAAUUUUGAUCUUGAGGCAGUCGGCGAAAAGCGACUAUUUCAACUGAAUGAAUCAGAUGAGUUUCGUCUGCAAGCGUAUAAAAACGCUAAGUUGUACAAGGAGAAGACCAAGAGGUGGCAUGAUAAGAAAAUCUUGGAUAGACACUUUGAACCGGGCAAGAAGGUCCUUCUUUUCAAUUCCCGACUAAAGUUAUUUCCUGGGAAGCUAAAGUCCCAAUGGUCGGGCCCCUUCACAGUUGCCAAGGUUUAUCCAUAUGGGGCAAUAGAGGUUGAGGACCCGAAUUUCGACACAACCUUUAAGGUCAAUGGGCAGAGGUUAAAACACUACUGGGGCGGUGAGGUAGACCGGCAAAACACCUCUAUUACACUUGGAAACCCGGUGUAAGACGGGGUACUAGUCAAGCCGACGACUCUAAAUCAAGCACUUGAUGGGAGGCACCCCAUAUCAGUAUCAAACAACUUGUUUUAUCUUUAAUUUCUUAUAUUUCAGUUGGUAAUUCAAUUUUUGUUUUAGUCUGUGUUUUGUACAGAGUGUGUCUGUCUGUGUUAGGUUCUUUGUUUGUGCUAAGUUUGUGUCUCUUUAGGUUACUGGCUGAUAUGUUAAGUUGGUUCUGCAGAGUUGCUGGUUUUCUUUUCUUCUUUCGAACGCUAGAGUCCGCGCCCCGUCGCCGUCUUUCGCGCCCCAGCGCCACUCUCCGCGCCCCGGCGCCAGACCUCGCGCCCCAGCGCCAUGUGAUUUGAGAGUACACUGCAAACUCGCGCCCCGGCGCCAUGAAUUACACUGAGUUUUGCGCCCCAGCGCCAGCAUGGGUUUGACCCUGCACCCCGGCGCCAUGCGUCACGCCCCAGCGCGACUUAUCGCGCUCCGACGCCAAACUCAGCGCCCCGACGCCACGAGCGUUUUCCAGCAUUUAAAUGAAGUGUUUUACACUUUAUUACUCAGUCAUUCCUCUCUCUCUCUCUCGCAUCGCGAAGCGGCACAGUAGUUCAUCUCCUAACUGUUCAGUUCAUCUCCCAACAGUUCAUCUCCCAACCGUUCAGUUCAUCUCCCAACCGUUCGUACCGUUUGGCCACCCAACGGUUCCAUCUUCCUUUGUCGCCUGUUUGCCUAUAAAACCCAAGCCAGAUACGGUAAGUUUCCCAACUAUUUCGCUUGCACAGUAAUAGCUACAUAUAACUGCAGCAAUGGCUCCUAAGCGUCCUCAAACUAGUGUUGGGCCUCCUCCUUCUUCAUCCUGAGCGCCUGUUACGGCAUGGGAUGCCGUCAAAUUUCUAACUGAGGAAGCCUAUAAGCGGUAUACCCAAAAUUUUCUGCUGCGCACCCCAAUGCCUGAGCGAGGCCUUCGCCCUGAUGAGCAAGAUGGCCAAAUGAAUGCCAUGAUUAGCGCCAUGAAAUGGGUGCACUUCACCAAGCCCCCGGAAUCUGUCGUGGUUGCUGUAGUGAAAGAAUUUUAUGCCAACGCCAUUCCUGAAGGCCCUCCGGCGGCACCAGUGAGGGGGAAGUUGAUCCCGUUCGAUGCCAAGGCUAUUAAUUAAGUGUAUGGGACUCCUAAUUUUAAUGGGCGCGACUAUGGGGAGAAUGGGAUUAGGAGCUAUCAGUCGGACGAAAUUAUUGCCAAAUUGUGUAAGCCUGGGACAAUGUGGAAGACUAAUGAGUACACGGCUGAAAAGACUUCAUUUCCCCAGCAGGCCCUUAGCCGUUACGGCAAGGCGUGGUAUGCCUUCAUUUGCUCUAAUAUCCAGCCUACACGCCAUGUCAGUGACGUAACCAGGGAAAGGGCGACUUUGCUCUAUGCGAUAGUUUCGGGGCUUAAAAUUGAUGUUGGGUCCCUAAUCAAUGAAUCAAUCAAGAAAGCUAUCAAUAGCAAGGUUAUGUCGGGCCUCCCACACCCUUCUCUUAUCACCCGUCUUUGCAAGAGGGCGGGUGUUCAAUGGGAGAAUGAAGACGUGACAUUGCCUCCUAUGUCUGUAAUUGACCAUCAUCUAAUCAGCCGUUACGCAUUUUGGGAGGGAGUGCCAUCACAUCCCCAUGGAGAAGGAUUCUUGCCAGCACCACCGCCAUCCGAUGCGCCACAACCAUCCACUGCGGCCGGAGCCUCCACCAGCACGACGGUUCCUCCUUCUGUCGAGGCCGUGGAUCCUGGGACCCUUGCUCAGAUUUUGAACAGUUUAGAUUUCCUGCACUGCAAGGUUGAUACUGUGGCCCAAUGGCAGAGCCAGUUUCACCAUUACCAUGUGGAGUUUGCCAACACACUCGCCAACAUUCAUGCCGCUCAAGGAGGCGAGGAUGCAGAUUUCAUGCCUUUUCCAUUUCCCGCUCCUCCAAUGUAUGUUUCCUAUCCUCCACAAUUUCCGCUGCCUACUGAGGCGGUCCGAGCAAGUGAGCCAGUCAAUGUGGAUGAUGAUGGCGAUGAUGAUGAUGAUUUUGAGCUAUUCGGCAUGGAUGAGGAUCUUGAAGGCGGUGAUAGUGAUCAUGGCGGUGAUGACGCUGCUGCUUAAGACUAUUUCUACAGAGGCCAGUGAGGACACGGGUCAAAGUUCUAGUUUGGGGGAGACUUCCUUUUAUUUAUUUAUAUAUGAACUGUGUUAGUUUCUAUUAUUGUUAUUUCAAAUGUUUCAACUGCUAUGUAAGGAUGUUAGGAUGGUAUUAGGGCGUGAUUGCCCGUGACUCAUGGUUUGAAUAUUUAUAUAUCUAUUGUGUUUAUUAUCGUGGUUUAUCUUUUGGUUUUGGAUGCAUGCGUUAAUUUAUUUUGGAUGCAGUACUUAGUAGUGGUUUUUGUUCAUAAUAUUUUAUGCUUUUGGUUAUAUAUCUUUAGUUUGGGAGAUGUCUUGGCUAAGUCAAUAUUGUCUCGUUUUAAGCCUUAUAAUUUUUGGGACUUUCACUGAUUAAUUGGUAUACUCGAUGCCAUGUGUGUUGGUUUUGCCCAUUGUUGAUACGAGUAUUCUUUAAUUAAUAUAUAGUUUUUGUGUUUAACUCUAGCCUUGAGUCUGUAACUGUCUAUAUGCUGGGUUAGGGUACUUUAGCGUUAAACUCUUUUUGUGGCCCUUGUCGGACUGUCUAGCUAGUAUAUCAGUUUCCUAGGCUAGUGGCAAAAGGUUAUGCGAAUUUGGGGUUUGUGUUCUAUAAAAUUUGGGACUGUCUUGGAUCCACCCGUUCAAAAAGCACUGGCCUUUUAUCUCUCUAGUAGUUUUCCGGUUUGUGAUCAUCAUUUGUCUAUUGAUAAUAAGUUGUGCUUUUGUAUAUUCUGUUAUUUCAAGUUUUAAAGACUUUGUUGCUUUAGCAUUCUCGGCUCUUUAGUAAAAAAAAAAGAGAGAAAAAAAAAGGAAAAAAAAAGAUAAUAAAAAAAAUUCAGUCCUGCGGUGGGUUGAGAUGGAGCGUGGAAACGCACUCGCCCAUAAACGCAGGCUCGUAAAUUCUAUUUUGGACUUGUGUUGUUUACGUGGCCUUUGUGCUUGAGUUAUUAGAUUCGUAGGGGUAUUUUACACCUAGUGCCCUAAAGUCUUCUGGCUUGGGAGUCAUUGAUCAAAAGCUUGCUAAUGAGUGCUCUGUUUUACCUAAAAGUAAACAAGUGUUGUCUAAGUUAGAUUUUGCUUCGUAAUUGUAAAACUUUCGAGCCUUUCAUGCUUUUGCGUUUUGUCUUAUCUCUUGUUAUGUAUAAGAGUUGCAUGGUUGCCUAUUGGUUAUCACGGUCAACUGUAUGAUCUUAAUCUGGGUUAUGGCUAGUGUAGAUAUGUGGUCUUCACACACACACACUAUGGAUCAAUUACAGUCUCAUGAUUUUUAUAAGUCAUUAAGCCCUUGGUUGCAUGCAUUUGGUUCUAUUCUCUGGGAAUGCUAUGGUUUUGCUUAGAGGCCUUGAGGUUAGCCUUUAGGAGUAGUCAUCAGUCUUGCGUCUAUAUGUUGGACUGUUGUUAGUUUGCUUGAGGGCAAGCAAAAGCUUAAGUUUGGGAGUAUUUGAUGAGUGGGAUUUAAACCCGCGAUUUAGUCCUUUUUGUUGCCUAGGUUGUUGCAUGUUUUCAAUCUUUUAUGUAAUUUUUCUAUAUUUAUUUUAGUUCUUGAACGUUCAAAUGAUCUACAGGCUGGUCUUGCAAAUUAUGUAGUUUCUUGGUUAUUUUCCUUUGUUGGCGCCACAACGCCAUGAGUCGCGCCCCAGCGCCAAUACCAGGGCAAAGCUUCUGACCUUUUGCGCUUUGCUUGGCCUGAAUGUCGCGCCCCAGUGCCAUGGCCAGCGCCAACUUCACGCCCCGGCGCCAUCUACGGCGCCCCAACGCUAAUGCCAGGGCAAAGCUUCUGACCUUUUGCGCUUUGCUUGGCCUGUAUGUCGCGCCCCAGCCCCAUGGCCAGCGCCAGCUUCGCGCCCCUGCGCCAUCUACGACGCCCCAGCGCCAUCUUUCGCGCCCUGGCGCUAGUGACAGUGCUUAGGCUCGCGCCGCAGCGCGAGCUCCGGUUCCCAAACAGCAAACUCUUUUAAUGACCUAGAUAAAAGAGGGGGCGUAUAAAUAGAAAGCGAACGCUGCAUUUAAGGAGACCAGAGGAAGACUGCAGCACAACAAGAAAGUACAGCUUAGACUAGGAUUUAAUGGUCUAUUUUUCUAGAAGAGAAAGAAGCUCAUGAAGGGAAGACGAGUUAUUGCACCCAUCAUAUAACUUAGAGUUCUACUCGCGAAGAGAAGAUUUGGUGCAAGAACAUUUCAACAGGGGUUUUCUAUUUCCAAAUAUCUCAUUCCUUGUAUUUGUCUGAUAAUGUGUAAUGUAUUAAAAAUGCGUGUUAGUACCAUAGUUAUGAACUAACUCCAUUUUUAUGAUUGCAAUGUAACCUUCUGAUUUACUUGAUCAACUUUCUCUCUCAUUUUAUAUAAUGAAUCAUUUGGGAUGGGUUGUUGUAUUUUGUAUUUAAUGUCUGAUUGCUUGAUAAAGGAAUUGGUAUUAAUAGUGAUGGAAAUUGAUAAAUGAAUAUUAUUGUCUUUAAAUACAACAACACAUGUUAUGACCAUGACAUUGGAAUGUGUGCAUAAUAUGCUAAAAGGAUAGACAUAUUCUUAUUUGCCUUGUGUGACCUUGAGACUUAGCUUAAUGACAUUGACCUAGUUAGUGUCACCAAUAGACAUUGUGUUCUAGCUAGUUAGGGAUGUGCAUUUGACCUUCGACAGAAGCUUAUGCAUAUUAAUGUUCUCGGUUGGCCAUUCCUUGAUUCGUUUGUAUUAUGGAGAAUUAGAAGAUUAGGUGAAGCAUUAGGGGAGUUGUAAUCCUUUCUUAACUUCCUAGCACAACUACUUCUCUGAAUUUUAUAAUCUUGUUGAAAUAGCUUAACCAACCAUUUUUUACACUCAUUUAGAUAAGAUUAGUAACGAUUUUACCUUAGUAGUUGUUUUCUGUUAAGACUUCGUCCUCGUGGGUUCGACACUCUACUUACAUAUAUUACUUAUGGACCGCGUAUGCUUGCGCGCGAUUUGGCAAUAGCUAAAAUGACCAACAGUUGCCCCAUAGGCAGUGGACGAAUGGACACCAAGCCAUUUAGGACCUCCUCUAAGACACCGGCAGAUACAGUGGUUUUUAUUGGGACACCAAGUUUACUGUAUGUUAGACACAAAAGGAACAAAACUACUAUAUUAUGGCACAAUGGUUUCCAAUAAUAUCACAAUGAGUGAGCAAAAAGAAGAGGUUAGAGAAAAAGGACAAUAGAAAAUGCUAAAUGACAUCAAAGGGAAGAACUAAAAGAUAGUUCUGAAAUUGUAUUGCCUGAAAAGAGCUGCAAACAUGGUAUUAACAGCUCCCAAACUUGAAAGAUCCAGUUCCAAUUCUUGGUUAUCAGAUUCAACAGCCUGGGGAGUGGAAAAUUAUGUUUUGAGUAGCACUUAUCUUCAUAUUAAUGAAUUGAAGAAAAAAUUGAUUAGGCAAUUGUGAAUUCAAAAGUAUUUCCAAUAAAUAAUGAUGGAAUCUACAUUUUUCCUACCUCAAAACCAAAAGUGUCAAACUGACGUCGUUUAUCUGGAUCUGACAAAAUAUUAUACGAAAACGUGACCUCCUUACACAUAUCAGCUUCCUUAGGGUCAUUUGCAUUCUUGUCAGGAUAAACUAUCAUCCAUUUACAUUACAUGCCAAUUAUACAAUCCUUAUUUGGAUAUUCCCAUAUAACAUUAGGUAAUUUAUCCUUAUUUGGCUAGUUCGAGUAGACAAUUUAUCAAACACGUUUUAGGCUUUCCUAAUUACUACCAAACAAGAUAUACAAUAAAAUACACAAAUAAUAUUAGGUUUCUUAACAGUAAAUACACAAAAUUAAAAACUAACCUUUAAUUUAGGGACAACAAAGGAAAAGGAGGAGGAGGAGGAGGAGGAGGAGGAGGAGGAGGAGGAGGAAAGAACACUCUGUAGCCAAAGAUAUCCCCAAAAAUGGAUGAUUUCUCGCCCUAAUCUUUCUGUUAGAACAAUUAGACCAAGCAUCAUUUGUCAUCUGUAUUCUCAUGAUUCAUUAAAUUAAAUCCUAAAUGUUAACUGUUUAAAUUCCUUAAAUAGUUAGGGUUUCAAAAUACCCACAUCAAUUUCAGAAUUAAUUCAGUGAAAUUUCUUAUAAAAAUAAAAUGAGGGUUUGGAGGGACUCACGUAAGAAAUGAAAUGGAAAAAAAAAGUGCAGAUCGACGAAUAAAGAGGGCGAUGUACAAACCUGCACCAACAAGAAUGGUGAGCUUCCCGGGAGGAAGGCUAUCGCCAGGUAAACAAUAGCUCAGAGAGAAUCUUUGCAGACAACUAAAACAUCGAAGUGCAGAAAUUCAAAAAAUCGCUUUCUUUGUCAGCUUUGGAUCCUCUAGCCAUCAACUCGUCCACAUAUUCCAGCGAUUUAUCACGUUUUGUUGUUGCUACUGCAAGAGAUGACCAUGAUUUAAGAAACCACGAGUGAAAGGCUACUCAAGUGAAAUUUGGGGUGCAUAAUUACCCUACCGCUCUAAGAUAAAACUUGGGCGGGACAGAG
rnacentral:lncRNA from 1 species